AACAAACGCUGGCGGCGCGUUUUAAGCAUGCAAGUCGGACGGCAAGAGCUGUAGCAAUAUGGCUCCUAGAGUGGCGAACGGGUGAGUAACACGUAGGUGAUCUGCCCUUGGAUGGGGGAUAGUCCGUGGAAACACGGGGUUAUACCGCAUGAGGCCUUGUGGGUAGAGCCAUGAGGUGAAAGGUGCAAUUGCACCGUCUGGGGAUGAGCCUGCGGUCCAUUAGGUAGUUGGCGGGGUAAGGGCCCACCAAGCCUACGAUGGAUAGCCGGCCUGAGAGGGUGUACGGCCACACUGGAACUGAGACACGGUCCAGACUCCUACGGGAGGCAGCAGCUAAGAAUCUUCCGCAAUGGGGGAAACCCUGACGGAGCGACGCCGCGUGGACGAUGGAGGCCGUAAGGUUGUAAAGUCCUUUUCCUGGUGAAGAAUGACUGUGGGAGUGGAAAGCCCAUGGGAUGACGUUAGCCAGGGAAUAAGCCCCGGCCAAUUACGUGCCAGCCGCCGCAGUAAGAC
rnacentral:rRNA from 1 species